rnacentral:rRNA from 1 species
AAUCAACGCUGGCGGCGUGCCUCAGACAUGCAAGUCGAACGAGAACCUCCCUUCGGGGAGGAGACAGUGGCGCACGGGUGAGUAACACGUGGGUAAUUUACCUUUGGGUGGGGAACAACAGCCGGAAACGGCUGCUAAUACCGCAUAAUGCAGCGGCUCGACAUCGAGACAGUUGUUAAAGCGGGGGAGUCGCAAGACCUCGCGCCUGAAGAGAAGCCUGCGGCGGAUUAGCUAGUUGGUAGGGUAAUGGCCUACCAAGGCGACGAUCUGUAACCGGCCUGAGAGGGCGGUCGGUCACACUGACACUGACAUACGGGUCAGACUCCUACGGGAGGCAGCAGUCGGGAAUUUUGGG